AAAGUGCUGCCAAAUUUGGGUGU
rnacentral:miRNA from 1 species